rfam:Gossypium hirsutum cultivar TM-1 chromosome 4, whole genome shotgun sequence
UAUUAAAAAAAAUUAUUUUUUUAUACUGUUAAAAAUUGACUUGGUUUACAAAAUAACCACACAGUGACAUUUGGCGUGUUACGUGUACCUCAUAUUGAUUUAUAGGGAUCAAUUUUUAACUGUAGAAAUAGAUAAAGUUUUUAACA